UGCAUCCGUCUCCAUUUUCAACAGGCAAAGCGCCGCGACAGGAGCACCCAGCCGCCCUCGUCAGCAGCCGUGCGGUAACAGCGAGAGCAAUACAUGCGAAGCAGCGAAAUUAAUCUGCACGAAUAAGUGGAUAUUUACGCACUGAUUACAUCAUUUUACUGGACUAUUUAUUCUACUGUUGUUGUUUAUGUUUUCUAUCCACCCGAAGUUUGUUUUUAAUUGCACAAUUCGCAUUUCUAACUGAUUUCCAACUCAAAAUGGAGAAUCAAGAAGGCAAAUACCUCCCGGAGCUCCUCGCGGAGAAAGACAGUCUGGACGUGUCAUUUACGCACGCGAUGAAACUUUUAUCCGCAGAAAUCGAGAGAAUCCAGAAAGGCGAGCCCAAGAAGGAAGGAGGAGACUCGUAUCUGGACCUUUUCACCGUCAAGAAUAUCAAACUGAAGGAACGCGUGCUCAUACCCGUCAAACAGUAUCCGAGGUUCAACUUUGUGGGGAAGAUUCUUGGCCCUCAGGGCAACACAAUCAAACGCCUUCAGGAAGAGACUGGGGCCAAGAUCUCUGUACUGGGCAAAGGUUCCAUGAGGGACAAGGCGAAGGAGGAGGGUCUGAGGAAAGGUGGCGAGGCCAAGUACGCACACCUGUCUAUGGAGCUGCAUGUCUUCAUCGAGGUGUUUGCCCCCGUGCCCGAGGCUUACCUACGUAUGGCACACGCCAUGGAGGAAGUCAAGAAGUUCCUGUUUCCUGACAUGAUGGAUGACAUCUGUCAGGAACAGUUCAUGGAGAUGGGUUAUCUGAACGGGGGCCAGGAGCACGGGCCAGGGGCCCCACGAGGUAGAGGCGGACCACCGGGCCCCAGGGGCCGAGGAGGGCCACCGGGUCAAACAGGGGCCUCCAGGGGUAGAGGUAUGCUCCCACGUGGAGGUGUCACAAGGGGAGGUGCGCCCCGCGGAGGGCCAGCGAGAGUUGGAGUAGUGAGGGGGUCACCGGCAGGAAGAGGGGGACCUCCAGCUGCCCCCGCUCGAGGGGCAGCAACACCCCGAGCCAGACCCCCUGCCCCUGGGGGACCACCUAGGAUGCCCCCUCCACCCCCCCACCAGCACCAACACGGCCCAGGACCGGAACAAUAUGAGGAAUAUGCUUAUGAUGAGGGCUACACAGAGCCAGCGUACGAGUCAUACGACAAUUACUACAGUCAACCACAGGCAGAGCCAGAGUACUACGACUACGGACAUGGAGAGGUACAGGAGGCAUAUGAACCCUACGCCCAGGAUGACUGGAACGGAGCCCAGAGAGCGGCACCGGCGGGGAAGGCCCCACCUUCCAGAGCGGCUAAGGGCCCUUACCGAGAACACCCCUAUAGACAAUACUGAACUCACCAUGACAGCGCCUAGCGACCAACGCUAACGAGUUGCCCUGACAACCAACCAACCUGUCUACCACGGCAGCUCUCGCUCUAAGCAACCCUCGACAAAAGUCCAACUAUUAGUCAGUCAUGGACCAAUCAGAGGGUGGCUUACUGGAGAGAGAGAGAGAACCAAUCAGAGGUCGGCUUACUGGAGAGAUGAUACCAUACAUACCUCAGUGAGGUGGUACAGGAGCAGCAGGGCUCUACAUGACAGAGCACUGGAUCGCCGUCAGGCUCCACAGUGAAGAACUGACCCAGUAGAGGGCACCAAUACUGGGGUAGAGCAGUCUGCAAGGAGGGCAGGCUGCCCAGAGGACCAGAGAGCAGAUAUAGCCUACAGAGGAGAGAGAAGGGAGCCUUGGCCCUGCUAGAAAAAGAAGAGGGGUGGUUCUAUGAGGCUCUGUAUUAGAAUCUGAAUGAGGGGAGAAGAUUCUGGAAUGUGAAGCUAUGAAACUUUACUGUGAAGCUAUGACACUUUACUGUGAAGCUAUGGCACUACUGUGAAGCUAUGACACUACUGUGAAGCUAUGACACUACUGUGAAGCUAUGACACUACUGUGAAGCUAUGACACUACUGUGAAGCUAUGACACUACUGUGAAGCUAUGACACUACUGUGAAGCUAUGACACUACUGUGAAGCUAUGACACUACUGUGAAGCUAUGACACUACUGUGAAGCUAUGACACUACUGUGAAGCUAUGACACUACUGUGAAGCUAUGACACUACUGUGAAGCUAUGACACUACUGUGAAGCUAUGACACUACCGUGAAGCUAUGACACUACCGUGAAGCUAUGACACUACCGUGAAGCUAUGACACUACCGUGAAGCUAUGACACUACCGUGAAGCUAUGACACUACCGUGAAGCUAUGACACUACCGUGAAGCUAUGACACUACCGUGAAGCUAUGACACUACCGUGAAGCUAUGACACUACCGUGAAGCUAUGACACUUUACUGUGAAGCUAUGACACUACUGUGAAGCUAUGACACUUUACUGUGAAGCUAUGACACUUUACUGUGAAGCUAUGACACUACUGUGAAGCUAUGACACUACCGUGAAGCUAUGACACUACCGUGAAGCUAUGACACUUUACUGUGAAGCUAUGACACUUUACUGUGAAGCUAUGACACUACUGUGAAGCUAUGACACUACUGUGAAGCUAUGAUACUUUACUGUGAAGCUAUGACACUUUACUGUGAAGCUAUGACACUUUACUGUGAAGCUAUGACACUUUACUGUGAAGCUAUGACACUACUAUGAAGCUAUGACACUACUAUGAAGCUAUUACACUUUACUGUGAAGCUAUGACACUACUGUGAAGCUAUGACACUACUAUGAAGCUAUGACACUUUACUGUGAAGCUAUGCUUGUGAUGUCUAUGUUUGACUGUGGUGUUUUGAUACCGUACUGCUUAUUCACUGCUAGGCACUUUUUUUGUUGUUGAUAUGAAUCACUUUUAUAUUGUUGUGUAACGUGAACAGUUUCCAAGACCUUUUACAGUUUGUAGUGAAGUGAAACUUCACUG